rnacentral:rRNA from 1 species
GACGAACCGUGCGAACGUUGUUCGGAAUCACUGGGCUUAAAGGGCGCGUAGGCGGCUUGCCAAGUCAGUGGUGAAAUCCUGCAGCUUAACUGCAGAAGUGCCUUUGAUACUGGCGAGCUCGAGGGAGGUAGGGGUAUGUGGAACUUCUGGUGGAGCGGUGAAAUGCGUUGAUAUCAGAAGGAACGCCGGUGGCGAAAGCGACGUACUGGACCUCUUCUGACGCUGAGGCGCGAAAGCUAGGGGAGCAAACGG